rnacentral:rRNA from 2 species
GGGUUGUGAGGUUAAGCGACUAAGCGUACACGGUGGAUGCCCUGGCAGUCAGAGGCGAUGAAGGGCGUGCUAAUCUGCGAUAAGCGCCGGUAAGGUGAUAUGAACCGUUAUAACCGGCGAUACCCGAAUGGGGAAACCCAGUGUGACUCGUCACACUAUCAUUAACUGAAUCCAUAGGUUAAUGAGGCGAACCGGGGGAACUGAAACAUCUAAGUACCCCGAGGAAAAGAAAUCAACCGAGAUUCCCCCAGUAGCGGCGAGCGAACGGGGAGGAGCCCAGAGCCUGAAUCAGUAUGUGUGUUAGUGGAAGCGUCUGGAAAGGCGCGCGAUACAGGGUGACAGCCCCGUACACAAAAGCGCAUAUGCUGUGAGCUCGAUGAGUAGGGCGGGACACGUGGUAUCCUGUCUGAAUAUGGGGGGACCAUCCUCCAAGGCUAAAUACUCCUGACUGACCGAUAGUGAACCAGUACCGUGAGGGAAAGGCGAAAAGAACCCCGGCGAGGGGAGUGAAAAAGAACCUGAAACCGUGUACGUACAAGCAGUGGGAGCACCCUUCGGGGUGUGACUGCGUACCUUUUGUAUAAUGGGUCAGCGACUUAUAUUCUGUAGCAAGGUUAACCGUAUAGGGGAGCCGGAGGGAAACCGAGUCUUAACCGGGCGUUAAGUUGCAGGGUAUAGACCCGAAACCCGGUGAUCUAGCCAUGGGCAGGUUGAAGGUUGGGUAACACUAACUGGAGGACCGAACCGACUAAUGUUGAAAAAUUAGCGGAUGACCUGUGGCUGGGGGUGAAAGGCCAAUCAAACCGGGAGAUAGCUGGUUCUCCCCGAAAGCUAUUUAGGUAGCGCCUCGUGAACUCAUCUCCGGGGGUAGAGCACUGUUUCGGCUAGGGGGCCAUCCCGGCUUACCAACCCGAUGCAAACUGCGAAUACCGGAGAAUGUUAUCACGGGAGACACACGGCGGGUGCUAACGUCCGUCGUGAAGAGGGAAACAACCCAGACCGCCAGCUAAGGUCCCAAAGUCAUGGUUAAGUGGGAAACGAUGUGGGAAGGCCCAGACAGCCAGGAUGUUGGCUUAGAAGCAGCCAUCAUUUAAAGAAAGCGUAAUAGCUCACUGGUCGAGUCGGCCUGCGCGGAAGAUGUAACGGGGCUAAACCAUGCACCGAAGCUGCGGCAGCGAACGUAUCACUUAAAGCGAUUCAGCGGGUUACGAUUGACGGAGCGAAGCGACGUCAAAGCGUAUACAAAGUCGAGUCGGUUUAAGGAUACGUUCGUUGGGUAGGGGAGCGUUCUGUAAGCCUGUGAAGGUGUGUCGUGAGGCAUGCUGGAGGUAUCAGAAGUGCGAAUGCUGACAUAAGUAACGAUAAAGCGGGUGAAAAGCCCGCUCGCCGGAAGACCAAGGGUUCCUGUCCAACGUUAAUCGGGGCAGGGUGAGUCGACCCCUAAGGCGAGGCCGAAAGGCGUAGUCGAUGGGAAACGGGUUAAUAUUCCCGUACUUGGUGUUACUGCGAAGGGGGGACGGAGAAGGCUAUGUUGGCCGGGCGACGGUUGUCCCGGUUUAAGCGUGUAGGUGUGUGUUCCAGGUAAAUCCGGUUCACUUUAAC